rnacentral:rRNA from 1 species
UUGAAACACGGACCAAGGAGUCUAGCAUGUGCGCGAGUCAUUGGGAUAUAACUAAACCUAAAGGCGAAAUGAAAGUGAAGGUCAGCCUCGCGCUGACCGAGGGAGGAUGGGCCUCCCUACGGGAGGCCCCGCACUCCCGGGGCGUCUCGUUCUCAUCGCGAGAGGAGGCGCACCCAGAGCGUACACGCUGGGACCCGAAAGAUGGUGAACUAUGCCUGGUCAGGACGAAGUCAGGGGAAACCCUGAUGGAGGUCCGUAGCGAUUCUGACGUGCAAAUCGAUCGUCGGAACUGGGUAUAGGGGCGAAAGACUAAUCGAACCAUCUAGUAGCUGGUUCCCUCCGAAGUUUCCCUCAGGAUAGCUGGCGCUCGCCGCGCGCGAGUCUCAUCCGGUAAAGCGAAUGAUUAGAGGCAUUGGGGUCGAAACGGCCUCAACCUAUUCUCAAACUUUAAAUGGGUGAGAUCUCCGGCUUGCUCGAACACGUGAAGCCGCGAGAUUUCGGAUCAGAGUGCCAAGUGGGCCACUUUUGGUAAGCAGAACUGGCGCUGUGGGAUGAACCAAACGCAGAGUUAAAGCGCCCAAAUCGACGCUUAUGGGAUACCAUGAAAGGCGUUGGUAACUUAAGACAGCAGGACGGUGGCCAUGGAAGUCGGAAUCCGCUAA